rnacentral:tRNA from 1 species
ACUUUUAAAGGAUAGCAGUAAUCCGUUGGUCUUAGGAGCCAAAAAGUUGGUGCAACUCCAAAUAAAAGUA